AAUAAAUGCAGUUUUGCACGGUUCAUGUCUAACGUUUAAUCUUUUGUCUUAUUUAAAAUUUUUUUAUGAUUAGUAUUUUUGUUGUUAUUAGAUGAUAAAACAUGAAUAAUAUUUUACAUUUGACUAAUUUAUUUUAACUUUUUCAUAAACUUUUCAAAGACGGACGUUUAAAAGUUCGACACGGAUUUUCACGGUUGCACUUAUU
rnacentral:pre_miRNA from 2 species